GGGGUUGUGGCUCAGCAGUAGAGCGCUCACCUGGCACGUGCAAGGCCCUGGGUUCAAUCCCCAGCAGCACAU
rnacentral:tRNA from 1 species